UGGUGGAGUGAUUUGUCUGGUUAAUUCCGUUAACGAACGAGACCUCCGCCUGCUAAAUAGUUUGGCUUGCCCUUGUGGCAGGUCUGACUUCUUAGAGGGACUUUUGGCGAUUAGCCAAAGGAAGUUGGAGGCAAUAACA
rnacentral:rRNA from 1 species